UACGAAGGGGGCUAGCGUUGCUCGGAAUCACUGGGCGUAAAGCGCACGUAGGCGGAUCUUUAAGUCAGGGGUGAAAGCCCAAGGCUCAACCUUGGAAUUGCCUUUGAUACUGAGGAUCUCGAGACCGGAAGAGGUAAGUGGAACUGCGAGUGUAGAGGUGAAAUUCGUAGAUAUUCGCAAGAACACCAGUGGCGAAGGCGGCUUACUGGUCCGGUUCUGACGCUGAGGCGCGAAAGCGUGGGAGCAAACAGG
rnacentral:rRNA from 1 species